UUGCCAUGAUGAUGUUCUCAAUCAGGAGAAAGCACUAAGUGCUUAAUGAAACUUCGGCAACCAUGUCGAUCCUGAGCGGUUACCUGAGCAA
rfam:Cephalotus follicularis DNA, scaffold: scaffold7488, isolate: St1.